rnacentral:rRNA from 1 species
CCCUUAGAUGUCCUGGGCCGCACGCGCGCUACACUGACAUGUUCAACAAGCCUCCUAGUUCGACAGGAUUUGGGAAAUCUUUGAACGCAUGUCGUGAUAGGGAUAGAUCAUUGCAAUUAUUGAUCUUGAACGAGGAAUUCCUAGUAAACGCAAAUCAUCAAUUUGCAUUGAUUACGUCCCUGCCCUUUGUACACACCGCCCGUCGCACCUACCGAUUGAAUGGUCCGGUGAAGCCUCGGGAUUGUGGCCAGUUCACUUUAUUGGGAGUUGGCUGUGAGAACUUGUCUAAACCUUAUCAUUUAGAGGAAGGUGAAGUCGUAACA